CAUUGCUUUCUCUAUAUAUACCCCCUCCCCCUCUCAUCUUCUACGGGGUAAAAUAACGGGAUGCACUUAUUUCCAGGGAUUAUUUUAGAACAGCGUAACAGAUAUUGCUUCAUCGGGUAGGCGUGGCCUAUUUGAUAAUCUAACCCUAACCAAAACAGUAGUUUUUGGUUUAUUUGUUUUCUAAAAUAAAUCUACCCGUAUAACUGUUUUGUCCUUCGUAGUAUGCUGUUUUGUUUUGUUUUUUGAAGAGGGCGUUUUUCCAAGACCUCCGGAAACACGCCCACUUUACCUCAUGUUAACGAAACUCCUGGAAUUUCGUGAAUUCCAAAUAACUGCUUGUUUCGGACGCGUCCGAGAACCGAUGAACUGUUGAUACUGCGCAUGCUUGAAUAACCGAACUGAUACAGCGAAUCAUCAGUACACUGAAUGAUGAAGGAAUUUACGUCAGGACGUAAACGAACUGGUGAACUGGACAUUUGAACUGAUUCAUUAAAACGAAUUGUUCGAAAGAACCGGUUCGCGGAAAAGAAAAGAACUUCCCAUCUGUACUCUGUAUUUGAUAAAGUUGACUUGUGUGUCAGACUGAUUUUCUAUUGAUCGCUUAUGCCUGGCAGUUGCGAAAGUCAGUAAAAGAAGCACACGGCUCAAAAGCACAUGUCUCGUGUCGUUCAUUAAAAUACACAUACAGUAUACAACACCCAUCAUCCCAUAACUUACAUACGAGAGCCUAGUGUCAUCUCGCCUCCACAGCACUAGAUGGUGAUACAGAGUCAGGAUGCUGACAGAUUCUCUGACUAAGUAAUGUAAACAGGACGUCGCUUUCUGUACUUGCAUGACCAAUGGUUAAAAAUAGAUCAGGAUGGUUUGCUUCUGCAUUUGGGAUUAGAAUAAAAGUGUAUUUUUUUUUUCUUGGAUGACUGAAGAAGUGAGAGAUAAGGUUCUAACAUCUGUAAUGCCCGAAAUGCCAAAUCAUCUUAGGAGUCAUGGAGACUGGUUUGCCAUCUGCUCCAAGCCUACAAAAUAGAACAAAACACACGACAUGUAAAACCUAAAAAUGGCUGCAUCUUAUCACUGCAAAAUAUCGAUCUACUCUCUGACUUGAGCUGCCCUGUACAAGCUAAACAGGAAUCGGAUCCAUCUCAAUCAGAAUAUUUACCUUGUCCUAAGUUUGAGGAGUUAAAGAAAGAGUCUACUGUGAUGAAUGAAUUAAUUAAAAUGGAACCGCAUGAUGACUUUAACUCUAGUCUGACCAUAACCACUGAAGCGUCACACUGGAGUGAUGAUAACUUACCACACGGACUGAUUCCUCCUGUUGAAAUGGAAGAUGAGUAUGAUGUAAAAUGUCCCAAAAACUUCAGUGCAUGUCGAAAAACCAAAAGUUUAAAUAAAAAAAGAAGUGCUGUCAAAGUAAAGCUUCAUGAUUCAAAUACAGACAAGAAAUAUACAAGAAAACAGAGAAAGGCACAGAAACAAACCAAAUAUCAUUGUGUCAAGGGCCAUGAUGGCAGGACGUUGUUAAAAACACACACACACACUCACAGUGAAGAAGCAUUCCGGUGUGAAAGUUGUGGAAAACAGUUCAGAAGGUAUGACCUUCUCAGCGACCACAGGAGAGGGCACAGCAGAAAAAGACCAUAUGCCUGCGAUCAGUGCGGCAUGAUGUUUUCCAAACCUGCUUAUCUGAAAAUCCAUCUGCGCAGACAUGCUGGCGAAAGGGCAUUUCCUUGUGACAAGUGUGACAAAAGAUUUUUCGACAAGUACGACUUAGUAGUGCAUCAGCGAGAUCACACAGGUGAGAGACCAUACGAGUGCCGAGAGUGUGGAAAGAGCUUCAAGCGAAUUUAUAUACUGAACAAGCACAAGAAAACGCAUUCUAAUGAAAAACUGUUUGAGUGUAACGUCUGUGGAAAAGCCUAUAAAUAUGGUUACAGUUAUAGGUUACACAUGAAAACUCAUUCGGCAUAGAUUUUAUCAUAGUCACACAGCAAAAUUAAAAUCUGAAUUUCUGAAGGUCUUUUUUUUUUUUUUUUUUUAACUGAUGCAUUUUGUUGACAUCUUGUUUUCCUUAGCCUGGCUAGACAGAUAUAAAAUGUUUUAACAUAUCAUAUUGUUAAAUAUAACUUUUUCAAAUUUUCAAGUUGAUAAAUAUAUUUAUGCAAUUAUUUUUGCAGUACUGAGAAUUUAUGGAAUUGGUUAUUUGAUGUUCACGUGACUACUGUGUAUCCAAAUUAGAGUCUAUAUGAAAAAAAUGCACUGAUUAUUUCAGAUUGUGUGUAAUGACUGUAUAAUAAUUCUGCAAUUUGAUUAAGUGGUGAUGUCUUUUAACUCCUCAAUGCCAUUGUUUACUGUAUAUACUUUUUUAAGUAUAAUAAUAAACAUUUUUGGAGAUG